AAUUAGGGUUCGAUUCCGGAGAGGGAGCCUGAGAAACGGCUACCACAUCCAAGGAAGGCAGCAGGCGCGCAAAUUACCCAAUCCCGACACGGGGAGGUAGUGACAAUAAAUAACAAUACGGGGUUCUUUAGGAUCUCGUAAUUGGAAUGAGUACAAUUUAAAUCUCUUAACGAGGAACAAUUGGAGGGCAAGUCUGGUGCCAGCAGCCGCGGUAAUUCCAGCUCCAAUAGCGUAUAUUAAAGUUGUUGCAGUUAAAAAGCUCGUAGUUGAAUUUCGGGGUUAGUAGGUUGGUCAUGCCUCUGGUAUGUACUGGUCUCACUGAUUCCUCCUUCCUGAUGAACCUUAAUGCCAUUAAUUUGGUGUUUUGGGGAAUUUGGACUGUUACUUUGAAAAAAUUAGAGUGUUUAAAGCAAGCUAACGCUUGAAUACAUUAGCAUGGAAUAAUGAAAUAGGACGUUCGAUCCUAUUUUGUUGGUUUCUAGGAUUGACGUAAUGAUUAAUAGGGAUAGUUGGGGGCAUUAGUAUUCAAUUGUCAGAGGUGAAAUUCUUGGAUUUAUUGAAGACUAACUACUGCGAAAGCAUUUGCCAAGGAUGUUUUCAUUAAUCAAGAACGAAAGUUAGGGGAUCGAAGACGAUCAGAUACCGUCGUAGUCUUAACCAUAAACUAUGCCGACUAGGGAUCGGAUGAUGUUAA
rnacentral:rRNA from 1 species